AUGGUACAGAUAAGCACAUUACGUGCAGCACGGCUCAAUGCAUUAUUCAGCAGGGCUUGGAGGAGAAAACCAGCACAGGGAAAGGAAGGGAAAGAAGGAGAAAUUCGUGCUGCCUCAAGCAGCGCUUUGAUUUUGUGGAAGAUCAGCGUAAGGAUGAGGGUGCGCGAUUUCCCUUUGGAGCACCUUAAACAAACACACUUUUACACAGCACCAACAUCCCUCAGAGCUUUUGCAGUGGGCACACAGGUGACAAGCACGGCACCAAUCUCUACCUGUUGCACUGAAAUGCCAGGAGCAGCAGAGAAACCGAGGCACGCUGCAUCCCGUGGAAACUACCACGCACCGCAAGCAUUUCCAACCCCAUCACCCGUAAACCCCAGAACACCCAACCUCAGCUCCUUCAAGGGGCACUUCUGGCCGCCUCCUCUCCCCUGCGGCUUAGGAAUGGGAAGCCAGACUCCAAAGGCAGUAAUUAAACAUUGGCAACAAAAGGCACGGACAGCGGGCAGAAGCCGCCUCGGUCCAUCUCGUAAGCAGGGAAUCCCGCACAAAGCAGGCUGUGUCCCACGGCAUCUCCGCCUCGCUGCUCCCGAAGCCCAGCGCAAUGUUUUACCGCGUCCCAGCGCCCUGGAAUCAUUUCUCCUUUUGAUUCCCUACUGCUGUGCCGCCAGCGAAGCCAGGCUGGAGCCUCGCCGGGCUUCAGGGAGCGCGGUGACAGCGCGGAGGAGGCGGCCGGGGCUGCACGCCCGCAGCCAGGGGAAUCCCGGGGAGCCUCGCCCGCAGCCCCAGCGGCUCCGGGGAAGUUGUGUCGCGGCGGCCGCACUUACCCAGCACGAAGCAGAGGAAGCGCCGCGGGAGCAGGGCCAUGGCCCCGCGGCAGGAGCGGCUCCGCUCCCGGGGCCGGGCGGGCUCCGCGCCCGAGGCGCUGCCAGAGAGGAGGGGCGGGCCCGGCCCCGCUCCCGCCCCGCUCUCCCGGCGGCAGCGCGGGGGGAACGGGGGGAGCCGCUCCCCUGGGAUGGAGCCCGGGCUCUCCUUAUCGCCCUCUCCCCCUCGCAGCCCAGAGCUGCGGCAAAGGCGGCAAAGAGCUCCGAAGGAAAGCGCGGAGCGGUCCUGCGUCCUCACUCCCUCCUUUCCUCAUCCCCGCUCCCACAUCCACCGAGGGGAUUUCUCCCUAGCUAA
rnacentral:lncRNA from 1 species